UUGGUGUGGGAAGCACAUGAGGAGGGAAAUUUGAGACAUGUUUUGACCUUUCUUCUUAGGUGCUGAAUAUAAUAACAUUCCCAGAGCCCCUGAUCCUGGGAGAGCAGUGUUGGCAGCGUUGUAAGGAAGAGACCAGCAAGGCAGGAGGACAUAGUUCCAAGUACUGGGGAUUUGCUUGCUUUCCAUGGACUCCUAUCUUGCGACAUCUUUCGUAUGACAGAGACAUGGAUUUGUUUCUUUGGUCAAUUUCCUGCCUUUUCUGAUUUGAAUGCUUUGUCUGAAAGGCUGACAUCAUUUCAUGGAAAACUACUUUUUUUUUUCCUUUUUCAAGAAUAUAUCCACAGCAUAGAAGAUGGUAUGAAUGGGGUCAGAAUUUGGCAGCCUUGUAGAGGUGAAUGA
rnacentral:lncRNA from 1 species